GAACUACUCCCUCUGUCCCAAAUUUCUUGUCUUAGAUUUGUCUAGAUACGGAUGUAUCUAAUACUAAAAUGUGACUUGAUACAUCCGUAUGUAGACAAAUCUAAGACAAGAAUUUUGGGACGGAGGGAGUACUUU
rnacentral:pre_miRNA from 1 species